rnacentral:lncRNA from 1 species
UUUUGUUUACAAGAAAUUAUUUUUAAUACUAAAGUACAUGAACAUAUUGCAUGAGAACUUAUUACAUGAAGCUCAACUUUCAAGCAAAGCACUCAUAUCUUUUGAAUAAGGAGAUUCACACCAUGCUCAGGCUCCAAAAGCAGACCAUAAGUAGGUGAGUGUCGAUAUUUAGGAGAGAUAGUAAGUUUGAAAUUAGAGAGUAUGACAGCGAAAAACACUUUCAAUUCUAUUAAAGCCAAGUUCUGUCCAGGACACACUCGAGCUCCCAAUCCAAAAGGUAUAUAGGCUUGUGAAGACUUGCAAGCUCCAGUAACUCCAUUAGUGAACCUCUCAGGAUUAAACACGUCUGCAUCAGCUCCCCAAUAUUCAGGAUUACGAUGCAAUGCUGGUAGCCAUAUCCAAAUGUCCAUUCCUUUUGGAACCUUCAACUCACCAAGCUUCACAUUUUGCAUUGCCUCUCUUGAAACCAAUGUCACUCCUGGAUAAAGCCUCAGAACCUCUUGGAUCACCAUUUUUAACUGCAUGAAAAAUACAAAAAUCAAUUAAAACUACGGAUGCAGUGCAACUUCUCAAUUUAUAUCUACUUAUGUGAAUGUAUCUACCACUUUCAUCUUGCUGAGCAUAUUGUAGUCUAGGAGCUGUUGUCCCUUACAAAUCUCUAAAACUUCAAACCGAGCACGGUCUUGCCAUUCAGGAUGUGAAGCUAGUAACAUGAAAGCCCAAAUUGCUGCAACAGCAGGGGAUUGGUACCCACCAAACAUCAUAUUUUUGCAAUUGUCAACUAUGAACUCAUCUUCUGUUAACUUUCCAAGCUCACCAUUCUUGGAACCUUCAAUGAUAGCUUGUAAUAAGUCCUGAUGAGAUGUAGAUCCACUUCUCUCCUUAGCUAUGUCCAUUAUCAUUCCAUGGAUCUCUUUUGCUAAUCUCCAUGUUUUUCUUUUCCUUUCUAUAGAAAAACUAUAGAAAUCAAAACUAUUGAUUGUAUUGUUUUUGUACAAUUUAUUUGAAAUGGGAUGGUAGACACUCCGUCAAGAAUUUUAACAUUGAAACAGUAUAAUUGAUAUAUCAUCAGGAAUUUAAAUUAAUAUCGUUUAAUUAAAAUAAAAUUAUUGAUAUUCUAUCAAGAGUUUUAACACUAAAAAAGAAUAAUUUAUAUUCCAUCAAGAAUUUAAAUAAAUAUCGUUUGAUUAAAAUGAAAUUCAGAAAGAAUAAAAACCAAAAUUUUUUAUAAAAUUCUCAAAAAUUUUCAAAUCUCCAACAGACAAAAAAAAAUAUUUAUAAUAACAAAAAUUUCUAGUGAAAAUUUAUGAAAAAUUUAAAAAUAAUUAAAAUGCAAAGUUAACUUUUAAAUGAUAGAAUUUGGGUAUGUGGCCUUUCAUGGCAUGUCAGUCUUGAUUUUUUUUUUUUUUAAAGCUAUUACGAGUCUCCAACAAACAUCAUAAGUUAAACACAUUUCUUUGUCACUUGAGUUCAGUCUAAAUCUUCUAUAAAAUUUAAGUCUAAUUACUCUGCCUCAUGAAUUUUAGAUAUUAUUAAAUGUGAAUUUUUUAAAAACAUUAAAUUUUAGAUAUUAUUAAAUUUUUUCUGUAUACAUUGAAUUUUAUUAAUUUUUUUAUUAAAUCGAAUCGAAUUAAAUUAAAAAAUUAAUUUUAAAAAGUAUUAAAAUCAAACCCAACCAAACCAUAAAUAUAUAAAUUCAAAAACAAGAUAGGAUUUGUAAAGCUAUAGCCAUAAAUAAAUUCAAAAGCAAACAAAAAAAGAAAAAUGCUAGCGAAAUAAAAGGCUACAGUGCUCACCAUGAGUUUGUUAGGAGGUGUUUUGAUAUUUUCGAGCCGUGUGGGGUCAACGUAAGACUUCCUGUGUUUGGAUAGAAUACCAUCUCAAUAAUUUGACAUGAUGUGUUUAGCUCUGUAAUUUUUUUUAAAUUUCUAUGAUCUACGUUUCUCCCUCAUUUAAUUCAUGAUAUUCUAUUAUGACGAUUGACAAAGACUUUCUUUUUGACGAUUGACAAAGACUUUCUUUUUGACGAUUGACGAAGGUAGGACGGACUGUCAAGUGAGCAAAUGAAGUUUGCAAGGAGCUUACAAGGAUUAGAAAAAUUUUCAGAAAUUUACUAGGGCUAGAAAAUGCACGGAAUCUCAGUAGGGCUGGAAAAAGCCAAGGAGCUCAUUAAAGCUAAAAAAUGCUCAGAAACUUAUCGAGACAAAAAAAUGUCCGGAAGCUCAAUAUGGCUGGAAAAGGCCAAGGGCUCGUCAGGGCUAGAAAAAUGUCUGGAAACUUGUCGGAGCUUGAAAAUUCUCGGAAGCUCAUUAGAGCUGGAAAAAUACACGGAAACUCGUUAGGACUAUUGAAGGUCAGAAAGGUCGUUAGGGCUAUGUAAAAAUAAGGAGCUCGAAAAUGCUCAAAAACUUUGUCAUGGUUGAAAAAAUUCAUGAGAACCCGUCAAACGGUAAGGAAGACUGUCAAGGCUAUAAAAAGUCAAGGAGAUCGUUAGGGCUGAGAAAAUGCUUGGAAAUUUGUCAAGGCUAAAAAAAUACACGGAAGCUCAUCAGGGCUGUAAAAGGACUCGUGGACUCAGCUCGUUUCCAAGUUCAUGAGUAGGGUCUUAAACAAUCACAUUAAAUAAGCUGAUAUUAAUAUUAUAAGAGAAAAAAUUGGUCGUAAAUUAUUCAAAAUUAAAUUUGAUAAAAAAACCAACCAGUUUAAAUUCAUUUGCUAAACGAAUCAAACUUGAACUUAUUAAUACUCGGUUCAAGUUCGAAAUGAAUAAAAUUUGAGUUCAAAAAAUUUUAACAAAUCAAAUUUAAAUAGAAGAAAUCUCAUUUUUGCCCUUAAACUUUAUGGCAUGUCCAAAUAAAUCCAAAAUCAAGUUUUGACUUGAUUAAUUCAAACUUUUUUGUUUAAGUUCAAAUAUGCCAUUUUUGCUUGAAAAAAUUUUUAAAAAAUAUAUUUUUUUUCAAAAUUUUUAUUAUUAAAAUAUUAAUUAUGUCACACCCAUUCUCUAAUCUGCAUAUGAUUCAAAAAACUGAUAGAAUUCCCCCUAAUAUUUAUACAUAUGAAUACAUAUAACCUGCUAUAAGUUGAAAAUAUUAAACAUAUAAAAGAGGACUGAUAGCGGGACUAGUCAAUUCAUAAUAUAUAUACAAUAAACAAAAUACAUUCAUCACUUGGAUUUACAAUCUAUACAUAAUCUUCCAAAUUUACAAAAAGAAGUGACAAGAGACUUAGGAUUGGUCCGACCUCCUCUAGACUCUGAGUGGACGAGGUGGAAGGAAGGACAAAACUAGGAAGUGUAGAUUUCUACGAGUAGAUCACGAAAAAUGAUCUGAAAUAUUAAAAGUAUGAGGGGUGAGUACAAAAUACUCAGUGAGCAGAUAAAUAAAUAAAAAAGGGGAAAAGAUAACGUUUAGGUACUUAAUGGAACCAAAUAUUUAGCUAAAAUAAGUCAGCUGAAUAAAUACAAUUUAAUUCAAUUAAUACAAAUAAACUGUGAAAAAUAGAAUUCGCAUACACUCAUAAUAUGUUCCUUGUAGAUAAUGUUGGCAUCUCAGGUGUGAUAAAAUAAAGACGGCCUGAGAGCAAUGCUGGCAUCUUAGGCUCUAUGAUGACAAUUUUAGCCCAAGAGUUAAUAAAAUACUGGUCAUACACAUGUGCAGAGUUACCCCAAAGGGUAACCACCUGACAUACGCCUCAAAGGCUGUCUGCAUAUCAAGCGCUGUCUCAAAGACAGUAUAAAUAUAUAUUAUGCUGAAAAUAAAUCACUUGUCAUCAAGGUGUUAUCUAUUCGGUGCAUAUACAAAGUGUAAUAGGCUAUUUAUUCAGCUGUGCUUUAAAUUCAAUUUUCAUUCAUUCAAUAAAUAUAAAUUAUCGUUAUCAUUUUCCAACUUAAAUAAACAAAAUAACAUAUAUGAAUAUAUAUAUAUAUAUAUAUAUAUUUAAGAAAAGUAUUAAUGUUAUAUAUUUAUCCACUCACCAGUACUGGGAACAAAAUAACUUAGGUCGUAGAAGCACUCCUAUGAUCUAUCCUGGAAGCUGGAUCCUCUCCUAAAAUUAAAAAGAAAAAUAAUAUAUCAAAUAAUAAAUAAAUAUUCUAGGAUGGAAAUAUAAAAUGUAAAAUAUAAAAUUUUAAAUAUAUUUUUAUAUAUAAUUUUAAGAAAAAUUCGGUAAUAUUUCGGUAUAGUUAGACCUCCAAAAAUUAUAUAAACUUAACAAAAAUACACAAUAAACCAUAAAUAUUAUAUAGGACAACCUAUGAAAAAUCAUUAAUCUAAAAAGAAAUAUGAAAUCUCAUUAAUUGAGUUUAACUAAAACUUAUUCCUCUUUUUAUUCUCAAAUCACUAAAAAUCACUGUUUAAUGGUAGAAAAAAUAAAUUAUAUCAUAAUAAUUUGAAUAAAAGGAAUAAAAUUUACCUACCGAAUUUUGGAGCUGGAAGAAAUUAUUGAAUUUCUGAACAUUUAAAAUAGAAUGUAACUGAGAAUUUUAAAAGUUUAUGGGUUGAUUGAGUUGAGGGUAAGGAGAUUUGAGUUAAAGAAAGGGAAACAUUUUUUUUUUUAAACAAAACAGAGAAGUGCUCUGCUUGCUACUGCUUCUGCUUCUGCUUCUGCUCUUUUGUUUUUUUUUUUUCCUUCGCGAUAAUGAAGNNNNNNNNNNNNNNNNNNUUUUUUUUUUUUAUUUUGUUUUAAAAUAUAUAUAUAUAUAUGAGUCAUGAGCCUUCCUCUUUUUUUUCUAAAAGGGCCGGGUAUAAUAAAUUAUAUAUUUAUAAAUAUUUAAUUAUUUAUGAAGUCUAAAAGGGCCGGGUAUAGUUGACUCUAUUUUAUAUGAAUAAAUUUAUAAAAAUUUAACUCUAUUUAUUUUUUUAUAAUUUUAUUAAAUUUAUGUAAAAAAUAUUAAUAUUAUAAGAAUUUAUAUAAUAUAAGAUAACUUAAAAAACAAAAUAAUCACAUCAAAUUUAUACACACUAUUACCACAUGUCUUAAUUUGAUGAAAAGGACAAAUCACAUUAAAACGACCUUUUUACAUGUGGUACCCUCUUAUCACUGGUGUUUCAUGUCAUAAUUAAGAAUCACCAAUCCACGUUGAGAAGAAAAUAAAGAACUUUUCUUCUUUUUUUUUUUUUGAAAAAAUCUCUUAUUAUUAUUAAGGGAGAUUUAUAAUUUAGUCCUUGAAUAUUGCUAUUAUUAACAAGUCAGUCCCUGUAUUUUUAGAAACCUAUUAAAACGUCCUUAUAUUUUCUUUCCGUCAACGAAAUAGUGCUUCCGUCAUUUUUUCCGUUAAAAUUAGAUAAAGGAGGAGAGAGAAAAAUUUUAAAAUCCAAUUUUACCCUCAAAUAAAACCUCUUAUUUACUCCUUGAAUAUUGCUAUUAUUAACAAGUCAGUCCCUACAUUUUCAGAAAUCUAUUAAAACGUCCUUAUCUUUUCUCACAUCUAUUAAUAUGUCCUUAUUGUUUCUUUCCAUCAACAAAAUAGUCCCUCCUCCUCUUCCUCCAAAAAGAAGAAGAUGAUGAUGAUGAUGAAGGAGAAGGAGAAGGAGAAGAAGAAGAAGAAGAAGAAGGAGAAGGAGAAGGAGAAGGAGAAGAGGAAGAAGAAGAAGAAGACGAAGAAGGAGAAGGACAAGAGGAAGAAGAAGAAGAAGAAGAAGAAGGAGGAGGAGGAGAAGGAGAAGAAGAAGAAGAAAAAGAAGAAAAAAAAGAAGAAGAAGAAGAAGAAGGAGGAGGAGAAGGAGAAGAAGAAGAAGAAAAAGAAGAAAAAGAAGAAGAAGAAGAAGAAGAAGGAGGAGGAGGAGAAGGAGAAGAAGAAGAAGAAAAAGAAGAAAAAAGAAGAAGAAGGAGAAGAAAAAGAAGCAGAAGCCGAAGAAGCAGAAGAAGCAGAAGCAAAAGAAAAAGAAGAAGAAAAAAAGCAGAAGCAGAAGAAGCAAGAAGAAUUGAUGAAGAAGAAAAUGAAGGAGGAGGAGGAGGAGGAGGGUAAUUUGGUCUUUUACUAUAUUGUUAACGGUAAAAAUAGACAGAAGGACUAUUUUGUUGAUGGAGAGAAAAGAUAAGGAUGUUUUAAUAGGUUUCUAAAAAUACAGGGACUGAUUUAUUAAUAAUGGCAAUACUUAAAGAUUAAAUUGUAAAUCUCCCUAUUAUUAAUGGCCACCUCUCUUCAAAAAAGUUAAAGAAUAUAAUUAUCCAGUGAAAUGUCCAUGGAAUCAAUGGUGACGAAUAUAUGUACAUGUGGUACUCAUUCUAUUCUAUAAUUUUUCUACCUCUUUUUAUUAAUGGAUUAAUUUUUAUUUUACUUUCUUUUUCUUUUUUUUGAAAUAGGGGUUGGGGGAGUCGAACCUUAAACCUCUCAAGGCUACAAGGAUGCACUUUCCACCAGGCUAAGUCUCAAAGUGCUUUUACUUUCUUUUUAUCUCUCAUUAAUUUUUUUUAUUUCACGUAUUAUAAUAUUAUUGAAUUAAAUGAAUUAUUGUACAUAACCGUUGUAUUGUAAAAUCACUUCCUCUUAAGAUAGGAUUAACCAUAAAGCAGUUUUUCUUUACAAGAAAUUAUUUUUAAUACUAAAGUACAUGAACAUAUUGCAUGAGAACUUAUUACACGAAGCUAGUCUCAUAUACAUAUUGCAUGAGAACUUAUUACACGAAGCUAGUCUCAUAUACAUAUUGCAUGAGAACUUAUUACAUGAAGCUCAACUUUCAAGCAAAGCACUCAUAUCUUUUGAAUAAGGAGAUUCACACCAUGCUCAGGCUCCAAAAGCAGACCAUAAGUAGGUGAGUGUCGAUAUUUAGGAGAGAUAGUAAGUUUGAAAUUAGAGAGUAUGACAGCAAAAAACACUUUCAAUUCUAUUAAAGCCAAGUUCUGUCCAGGACACACUCGAGCUCCCAAUCCAAAAGGUAUAUAGGCUUGUGAAGACUUGCAAGCUCCAGUAACUCCAUUAGUGAACCUCUCAGGAUUAAACACGUCUGCAUCAGCUCCCCAAUAUUCAGGAUUACGAUGCAAUGCUGGUAGCCAUAUCCAAAUGUCCAUUCCUUUUGGAACCUUCAAUUCACCAAGCUUCACAUUUUGCAUUGCCUCUCUUGAAACCAAUGUCACUCCUGGAUAAAGCCUCAGAACCUCUUGGAUCACCAUUUUUAACUGCAUGAAAAACACAAAAAUCAGUUAAAAAUACGGAUGCAGUGCAACUUCUCAAUUUAUAUCUAUUUAUGUGAAUGUAUCUACCACUUUCAUCUUGCUGAGCAUAUUGUAGUCUAGGAGCUGUUGUCCCUUACAAAUCUCUAAAACUUCAAACCGAGCACGGUCUUGCCAUUCAGGAUGUGAAGCUAGUAACAUUAAACCCCAAAUUGCUGCAACAGCCGGGGAUUGGUACCCACCAAACAUCAUAUUUUUGCAAUUGUCAACUAUGAACUCAUCUUCUGUUAACUUUCCAAGCUCACCAUUCUUGGAUCCUUCAAUGAUAGCUUGUAAUAAGUCCUGAUGAGAUGUAGAUCCACUUCUCUCCUUAGCUAUGUCCAUUAUCAUUCCAUGGAUCUCUUUUGCUAAUCUCCAUGUUUUUCUAUUCCUUUCUAUAGGAAGAAAUCUUAUUCAUAAACGUAACAAUGAGUAUUAGUCGUGCAAGUGAUUUAGAUAAAACUAAACUAAAAAGGUGAAGGAUAUACAUACCUUAGUAAAGGAAUCCCAAGAGUUGUGGUUUCACCCAUAGCCUUGAGGAGUUCAUGACACUUGGAAAAUACUUUAAUUCCUUUAUGAUGAUCACUUCCAAAUAUUAUUUUUGAGGCAAUAUAAGUAGUGAAAAUUCUCGCAUGCUCAUCCACCACUAUAUCAACCAUCCCACCCUCACCUUCUCUAUCUAUUAUCUUCUCCCAUGCUUUAACUACCAUACUACCAGAUUCGACCAUCAGAUUCACCAUAUCCUGUAUAUAAUAAAUAUUAUUUUUUAUUAAAGCAAAUAAUUUUAAUUAGCCUUACAAAUUAAAUCCAUAAAUUUAAUUACCUUAACCUUGUGCAUGUAGAGUUGAGGGGCAAUGGUCUUUCUUUGAUGAUGCCAAACAUCACCGUUUGCAGUAUUAAGGCCCUUGCCUAAUAGAACUCCUCUGUCAUUUUGUAAAUAAGCAGGUUUUCCAAGUUCAAAUGAUGUGAACAGAUUUAUUUCUCUCACUAUGCUCAGAUUAUUCACGUACAACAAUUGUAUUCCACCAAGUGCAAACUUGAAUAACUUACCUGUCGUAUAUGAUGAACAUAACUAGGAGUUAACGAAUGAGAAUUGAUUUAGAGUCUGUCUGAAAUCUUAAAAAUGUUAAUAAAAACAAAAUAUAUAUGAAAAAGGGGAAAUUUAUAUGUAUGAAAUACCAUAGUUUUUGGCCCAAUGCUUGAGAUAGGGUAAGACAAUUAAGGGACCAUCGAUCUGUGGAGUUUCAGAAUUUUGAGAAACCAUUCUCUCCAUUUCUGGUAUGUUUCCCAACAGCAGAGAAGGUGGAGGACCUUUGAUUCCUUGCUCUCUAAUAAGCUUAUUAGUUUUAUAGCUCUCAUGCUUCCACCACGCAACAUAACAUAAACAAAUGACGAGAAAACUCCAUAAAAGAAACAUCAUAGACUGAAGCGUUGAUAGAAAUUUACACCCCAUUUGUAUUGCUGGAUUCAUGGACGUGGCUCUUUAAAUAGACAUUCACAUGCAUGACAUUAUCUCCAAGUGAUAAAUACCUCACCUAUCAUAUCAUCUGCAUGUGAUAAAUGUUUACUAUAAAUAAAUAAAGAAAAAAAAAUUAGCUUAUUUAUAUAUAACAAAAUUAUGAAACAAUUUGUUUUUCUUUAAUUAUUAAAAAUUUAAAUCUUUUUUAUUUCUGUUUAUUUUUAUUUUUACUUUUAAUCUAAGCUGUACUGAAAAUAAAAUAUUUUUAGUUGCAAUUAGCCAUCCACGAUCAGUUAUGAGCCAUAAGUGACAGCUAUUAAUUAUUAACUAUAUUUAUAUAAAAUAGUUGUUUUGGAUUUGGUUGUAAAUCUAUGAUCUCCUUUAGUUUUGAGGGCAUUUGUUUAGUGCAUGUGUAAUUUAUUUGCUUUGACUGUAGGGUGGUUUAUUUUCUAAUUUGCUUUGUUGCAUGGUGACGCGUGUUUUUUCUUUUUUUUUUUUAUAAGCAAAAAUUUUUAUUGAAAUAAGAAUCAGGAAAAAAUUUAAUAUGAUCAUUGAAAACUAUCUUCUCAAACCCUUACUCAGCUUAGAUCAAUAGUAUACUAAGUGAAAAAAACUUAAGGAAUACAGAAAGAAAAAAAAAUAAAGAAAAAAGCACUCAAAUUAGAAAGUGCCUACAAAGUCUUCAACCCAAUCAAGUUUCUUAGCAAGACGAUCAGCUACAACGUUAGGAGAUUAACCCAAGAAUUUGCAUUGAGUGCAAAGAGUGACAACAGAUCAAGAAUCUUAAAAAUGGCUUUUAAUUCAGCAACAUUGGACUCUUCAACCCCUACCGGAAAUGAGAAGAUGCAAAGUAUAAUAUCCGGCUAAACUAUGCUAUCAUAACUCUAACUUUUCGACGGAAUCUCCGUUAGAAUAUAAAAUCUCAAAAUCGAAAACUUUGAAAGGGUAAAAUUGAUUUUUAUAAAAUGAAUUUAAAAGAUUUUAAAAUGUGAAAAAAAAUUUUUCAAAUCAUUAAGGUUCGGCCGCCGAACCUCUCAAAUUUAGCCGCCGAAUACAAGCUGGCAGACCCAACUAUAAAAGACCUCCAACUCGAUUUUGAGAAGAGUUUUUCUCUCUUCGUUUGGGCAAAGGUGAGCCUAAAACCUCUUGAUGAUUUUUGCUUUGACCUUUCUUUAAAUCCUCUAUAAAUUCAUGAGUUUUACAUUUAUUUUGAAGAAUCAAAUUUGAUUUUCAUGUUUUAGCUUUUGGGAUCCUCAGAGCUCAUCUCUUCUUCUCCUCUGAAUUUCUCCUUGUUGUUGUAGUUGUGUUUCUUUCAAGAGGUAAGUUUGUUUUUCUCUAAACUCAUUGUUCUUAGGCUAGAUAUGAGUUGUGUAUAGUUUGAGUUGUUGGAAUGAGAAUGCAUGUAAUGAUUUAUGUCUUUUUCCCUUUUUGUUUUGAAUCUUGAAUGUUGAUGUGCUAAAUUACUUGCAUGUGGGUUUUUUUGAAAUCUUCUAGCUGUUUAGAGGCUUCUAGAUUGUUGUGGAAUAUUUUUAAGCUUUUGCUUGUAAGUUUGAAAGCCUUUUGAGGGCUGUUGGUGGAGGUUGAAUCGGAUUCUACAUUGCAGAAGAAUCUAGAUUUGGCCGCCGAACAUACUUGUGAAGGCUGCCUUUUGACCAUCUAACCUGCCUCCGAAGAUUUGAUCUUCGAAUCUAUAAGGGAACUUUAGGCCAUUAAACCUGCCACUAAAAGUCCCCUAUCCAGUCUCGUUUUCUACAUGUUUUCUUAUAUGCUUUUAGGGUUUCUUGGGGUAGUGUCAAAUAUUGUGAAAGUUAUAUUUGGUCCCUCAUUUAAGUCCAUUGGUAUAGGAUUAGACUUGGGAGACCGUAAAGGCUUAUAGUGAGAUAACUGAUUCAGAGCUAGGCUUGCAUCAGUCAGAGGUGAGUAAAACUAAACCAAACUAUUAUUUUAAAGAAAUCAAAUAUUUUAAACAUGCUCAUGCAUUGCGAAUGCCAUGUAUAUAUGAUUAGGUUGUUUUGCAUUAGAAUUUACAAAUAUGAUGCAUUGCAUAAUUUGUUGUUAUUGUGGAUGGAUGUUAGAUGACCCACUAGCUCUCAAACAUAUUAUGAUAUUGUUAUGACGGAUACGGAAGUCCAGGUCAAAACUCAUUCUAUGCCUCUGACAUUAUGUAAGAGAAAGUCUAUGUUGAGACUCAUUCUAUGCCGCUGGCACUAUAGAUAUGUUAUGUUACAUUGUGUUUAAAAGGAAGUCCUAAACAUCUGUUGUGGGUCAGGUACUAUUAGAAUUUAUAGAGGGUUACUGGUGACAAGUCUAUCUUGAUGUGAAUUGUUUAUGUUAUCAAUUUAUAUGAUCAUAAGUUUUAUUAAACUGCUUUUGUUUAUGUUUCUGCUCACUAGACUCUUGUAACUUAUCUCUUUCCCUUAACCUCAAGUUUGCAGGACCAGCAUUAACUCGAGAGGUCAGCAAUGUUGUAUGGGAUAGUUAUAAUGGAAUAGUAUAGUUGUGGACAUGUAAUUCAUAUUGUAGAUUAGAAUUGUGAUUUGUCCAAAUUUUCUUUUAUAAUCCCUUCAUUCAUAGUCUUAUUAUACAAAAAUUUUAAAGUUUAAGUUUUGUUUAGACCAAACCGAGGCAAUGACCAUACUAGAGCAUUUGAUGAGGGCUCUAGUAUGGAUUUUAUAUUUUUAGUUAUGUUGCAUGCACAUGUAGGGGUGAGCAUUCAGUCGGUUCGAUUUAAAAUCGAACCGAACGGAAUAAAUCGAAAAUCAAAAUUUUAGUAUUUAUAAAAAUCAAACCGAACUGAUUUUGAUCAGAAAUUAAAUCAAACUGAAUCGAUCUGAUUCAGUUCAAUUCGGUUCGGUUUGAUCAGAUUCAAUUUUUAAUAAAUUUUUUAUUUUUUACGCUUUAUUUUUAGUAUUUUAAAAUUUAAUUAAAAUAUUUUAAUCUUAAUAUGAUCUAAUUUCUCUAUAUUAUUGAACAUAACAUAUUAUUAUCACUAAUCGGUUCGGUUCAGUUUUUUUAAUUUUUUUAUGAUCAAAAUCGAACCGAACCGAAAUAACUAAAAUUUUUAAAAUGAAAAACCGAAAUGAAUAAGAAACUGAAUCAAAUUUUCAAAUUAAUUCGGUUCGAUCAGUUUUUUCUGUUUGAACCAAAUAAUGCUCACCCCUAUGCACAUGUCGUGUUUCAGCUCAUGAGAUGGAAAUAUUUUCCUAUACUUUUAAGAUCAUGUUUGAGAUUAUAUCAAAUAUAUCAGGAUAUAUAGUAGACUUAUUACGGGCUCCGAUGACCUAUAUCUGAAUCCUAGCAUCAGUAGCGGUCUGGUUUCGAAUCAUUAUACAAAGGAAAAAUACCAUUUGAGUCACGAAGCCCAACCCCAGUUGCACGUCGACUAAGCUUACUCAAUAAGGACCCAUCAACAUUCUAUUUAAGACAAUUAGAAGGAAGAGGGGACCAUACAAAAGGUCUGGAUUUAAUCGAGUUGCUUCGCAUCUUUAUUGAAUUAGCAUUUGCUAGCAAGUUUGGACUAGAAAGGGAAUUCUUUAUUUAAAGCCUUUAACCGAGUUACUACUCUAAAAAAGAUGACAUAGCAAAUGUAGAUGGUAUCAUUGUUAUACCCUUUAAAAAUCUUAUCAUUUUUUGUGGUUCAAAUUUUUUAAAUAAUGGCGUAGAAGAGAGCUAAACAAAACUACUUCUAAAAAGACUCAUAAAAUAAAGAUUUCUAUUCUUGAAAGAACUUAGUGCUCAAGGCUAGAAUAUAUUAAGCAACACUCCACCAUUUGAAGAACCAAGUUCGGUUUAAUUUUUAUAAAUACUAAAUUUCAGUUUUCAGUUUAUUCGAUUCGGUUCAAAACCAAACUAAACCGACCGAAUGCUCAGCCUAGUUAACGCAGCUAUUUUGCCAUAUUUCAUCUAUAGCAAAAGAGUAGAUUAUCAAAUAUAUAUAAUAUGGGAUAACUUGAAAAAUAAAAUAAUUCAAAUUUGUACACUCUAUUACCAAAUGUCUUAAUCUGAUGAAAAGGACCAAUCACAUUAAAAAUAAUUUUUUUACAUGUGGUACCCUCUGGUCACUGGUGUUGCAUGUCAUAAUUAAGAAUUACCAAUCAACAUUGAGAAGAAAACAAAGAAUUACCAAUCAACAUAACAUAAACAAAUUCAAGCUUGUUUCCUAAUAUAGCCUUUUUAUUAUUCAUCUCCUUUCCCUUUUUAAUUAAAGUGAUUUUUAUUUAAACUAUUUAUUUUUAUAUUUUAAAGGAUUAAAAAUAAUUUUUUAUUUGAUUAAAUAAAGUUCACAAAAAGAACUAAAGAGUGAUAAACCUUUAAUAUUAUAUUAAAAUAAUAAAUUAUUUAAUAAAAUAAGUGACAUUUUAGAAUAAGUUUCCUAUUAUUAAUUUUUUAAAAUAAUAUUUACUAAUAUCAUCAUAAUUUAACUUCAAUAAUAGCUUAAAUAUUUUAAAUUUAUUAAAAUUAGUUGCAGUAGUGUUAAAAUCAAAUAUAGUAUCAUGCAUGUUCGAGAUAAAUAUUUACAUAUUAUAUAUUUUAUUUUAUAAUAAUGUAAAAUAAUAAUCGCUUAAAUUAAGUUAUGAACUAUCACCGUAAGAUAAGACCGCACGACAAUAGUCUGAUAAAUUGAUACACAAUUUUAUCUAUAAAAAGAAAGAUCCGGACACUAUGACACUUUAUUUUUCAUCAAAACUCGCUCUCUUUUGAAUAAGUCGAAAAUCCACAUAAAGUUACCGUGUAUAAUCCAGCAAAUUUCUGUUAUGCCUGUAAUAAAGGAAUCCCGAUUGAUUAGCCGAUAGGAUCCCCUAUUAAUUAGUCAGUACUAGUUGAAUUCUCAUAAAAUGCUAUAAUUAACUUCAUUUUUUUAUAGCGUAAAAGUUAAUGAUAAUAAAAACUAAGGUACACAUUUUUAUACAACUACUCUUGAAUUUUAAGCAAUUCUUUACAUUUGCCCUUUUCAUCAACUCACUGAUUUGAGCAUCGGAAUAGCUACUAUAGGGUCAUCCACCUCAUGUUCUUUUUCUUGCGAAGUAACCAAUCGCGACACAGUUCCAUUUUGACAACAUCAUUUAGUUUCAUUGUCCAGAAAAUCUAUUGAAUUCUAUCUGUUCAUUUGGAUUAAAAUUGGAUCCUUUAUCCCCUUUCUCUUAAAAAAGAAAUCUUUUUUUCUCUCUCUCAAAAUGGGUAGCAGUUCACGAGUUGCUGCUAAGGUUGCUAUUAAUGAGGGUGCUACCAUUUUCUUUCGCUCCUAGCAGCGGACAAAACACACCCACUAUGGUCAACGAAGUAGAUCUCAAUAAUCUGAAUAAUAAGCAAAUGUUUCAAUAUAUUAAAAGGUUGCAUGCUACUCUUGAGUAUUAUAAAACUUGGGGGAGGCAUCAUUUAUGGAUCCCAGAGUAAGGGAGGACGCUUCAAUUGAUCCUUUAAGGGGUCGGAUUGAUGCAAUCCAAGCGCAAUCCAAAUGAAAGGCCAAACAGGAGGAUGAAGAGUUAUCGGAUGAGGCUCCAAAGAAAGUUGAUUGGAAGCUGGUUCGAGCCAUGUAAAGGUACCAAAAGGAGUAAGAUGAGAACUAUGGUCUGGACGAUGCCUCACUCCUAUCAGAAUAGAUCUUAGCAGAAAUUUUCUCAACCAAGUUCAAACUGCCAAGUUUGAAUAAAUAAGAUGUAACAGCAGAUUUUAAAAGUCAGCUGACUAUUUUUAGAACAACCAUAUAGUUUCAAGAUGUCAAUGACUUCAUAUUAUAUUAAAUGUUUCUGUCAACACGAUUUUUGUGUUACACAGAGUAAUAAAUUUACAAUAUUUAUUAACAUAAAAUAAAAAUCAAAUGAUCAUGUAACGAAUUAAAUUUAUUAUAAAAUAAAAUUAAAGAAAAAAUUUAUUAAAAAUAUUUUUAUAUAUCAAAUAAUUAAUUUUAUUUUAUUUUAUAUUUUUCACUUUAACUAAUUUUCUGAAUUAAUUAUUAAUUUAAUUAAUGAAUUAAGUUGUAAUUUUAUUUUUAACUUUAAUAUUUUAUAAAUACCUAUUCAUAUUUUAUAACUUAAUGGAUUAAUUUUUGUUUUAUUUUCUUUUUCUCUCUCAUUAAUUUUUUUUUUAUUUCACGUAUUAUAAUAUUAUUGAAUUGAUUGAAUUAUUGCACAUAACCGUUGCAUUGUAAAAUCACUUCCUCGUAAGAUAGGAUUACCCAUAAAGCAGUUUUUCUUUACAAGAAAUUAUUUUUAAUACUAAAGUACAUGAACAUAUUGCAUGAGAACUUAUUACAUGAAGCUCAACUUUCAAGCAAAGCACUCAUAUCUUUUGAAUAAGGAGAUUCACACCAUGCUCAGGCUCCAAAAGCAGACCAUAAGUAGGUGAGUGUCGAUAUUUAGGAGAGAUAGUAAGUUUGAAAUUGGAGAGUAUGACAGCAAAGAACACUUUCAAUUCUAUUAAAGCCAAGUUCCGUCCAGGACACACUCGAGCUCCCAAUCCAAAAGGUAUAUAGGC